UUCACGAGAAAUUGUGCAGAGACCCAACCCAUUUCAGAAUAGCACUAUACUAUAGUAUAUGCAGCAUCUUGGUUUUACAAGAUACAAACAUUUUUGUCUCAUUCCAUUGCAUUCAGAUCCAUCAAUUACCCAAUUCAGGUACCUUCUAUCCAGCCAGUUGUUAUUUCAGACAAUACUGAAUGCUCGACUUCUUUUUCUUACUUUUAUAGUUUUGUUCUUAUGUGUAAUUAAACUGCUGUAGGUCAGAGGCAUCGACAAGAAAGUGAACAUUUUGACUUUUACCAUGCUUCCAUUUAAUAAUUACUAAUCGCUAUUAAUAGAUGCUGCACAGAGAUUCCAUGCAUUUUGAUCUUGUCCAAUUGGAGUAGGAAAACUAAUUCGUCUUUCUUUAAUCUUGUCAAUUUCAAUGCAAGUUAAUCUGGGCUAAAACUUUUCAGUAAUGGCGUCAACCAUGAUUUUGUUAGCCGCCAGACUCGAAAGUUAGGUCAUACAUCAAGUAUUAACUCUGCAAUACAUGUAGGAAAAACACUACAGUGUUCUGAAUCACAAAUUUUGUAGGGCAAAGAACUAUGUUCCAGUACAUUUCUUAACUUCUCUUGGUUUACAUAUGCAAAGGAUUACAAGCAAAUUUCCUACAUCCUACAUUUAUCCUAUAGCAAGUGUGUUCAUGGCAUGUCUAAUCAUGGUUCAGAGAUUAUGGACCUCUCUUCAUCCUCUUUUAUCGAGUUUAUCAUCAUAACAAUUUGAGUUAUGGUUGGCCUUUCAUUUGGGGAGGGAUUUAUGCACUUCAACGCUACCUGUAACAGGUUCACCAUCCUCUCUUCACUUGCACCUUCUGAUAUCAAGGCCCUGUCAAAAACUUCAACCGUCCACUCCUCGCUAACAACUGAGUGCACCCAUUUUGCCAAAUCGAACCCGUUAUUUUCGACCAAUUUCCCUGUCAAAAGCUCCAGAAGAAUCACACCGAAGGCAUAGACAUCGACCUUGAAGGUGCUAUAAAGGCGGCUACUCGGAGCAUUCUGUUUGUAGCUAUCAGUUUUCGAUAGCAAUGAUUGAUCUUGGUUUUCAACCACCAUUAGACCAUAUUCACUGAUGCAUGGUUCCAUAUUCUCAUUAAAUAAUAUGUUUGUGGAUUUCAGGUUUCCAUGAGCAAUUCCAUCUUCCCAAAAUUCCUGAUGAAUAAAUGCUAAUGUCUCAGCAAUUAUGGUUGCCACAUUCAGUCUG
rnacentral:lncRNA from 1 species